CGAAAAGAACCUAUCACCUAAGCCACUUUUUGUACCAUCUAACUUAGAAAAAUUGAUAUUAAAGAUUUUCAUAUCAAGUCUGGAUAUAAACAUAUACUAAGAAUUCGAAAGAAACAUCUACAAGGAAACUAAUAAAGAGACUAAAGUAUUGGCGAAAGAAAUAGUCCACACCAUUUUUAACUGAUUAGAUAAAUGAAUAUCGAGGUGAUUAAAAAGUCGACUUAUAAGUAUAGUACUGUGAAGGAAAGGAUUUAUACGAAAUAACUUAUUUCUUUUUGUUUUUCUAUUGUUAAACAAUGUACCUUUUGUAUAAUGGGCUUGCUAGAACUAAAUUUGGUAAGCUUACUAAAGCUGUAUGCAUAACAAAAUCAAACAUUCCCGAAACUAGGUGAUCAAUUCUAGGACAGCCAACAGGGCCAACCAUUUACUGUUUCAAAAGUUUUGGAAGAUCUUAGAAUAGAGGUGAAAUACUAAUCGAACCUAGAAAUAGCUGGUUUUCUACAAAAUUCUUAUUAGAGAAAUGGUAUUAUAUUAGUAACUUUUUAAAGCUAGAAUAAGUACCAAUAUCAAACAUUAUUAUAGACCAAGAAUGACAAGAUUGUUGGUCAAGAGAGAAACAACUCAGAUUAUAAGCCAAGGACAUAAAUCAACUAAACGUAAACACAGUGAAAAGUGAAAAUAGAGGACAAGUAGGCCCGGAAGCAGCCACCUUAUUGACAACGCGUAACAGCGGCUCCUAAAAAUAUAUUCACUACAAAUUAUGAUGGCUAAAUAAUUCCGAAGCUAUAGCAAGCAGGUAGUAGAACAGACUAUUGAUUAUUAAUAGUGGAGAUAAUGCAAGCAUGAAUACCCAUCCAUUCUUUAGGUUUUACCAAAAACAAUCCUUAAAAACUACAGGUUUGUCAGCUAGGAGUUAACAUUUCCCAGGAAAUAAGCUGACAAGACCAAUUGUACCCUCUAACCAAAGAUAGUAGAACGACCUGAUCAAUUCUUUCAAAGGAACUCGGCAAAUUUGGACUCGAACCAACAUUAGGAUCGACUGUUUACCAAAAACAUAGCCCUACAGUAAUUUUGUAAGGUGAAGCCUGCCCAAUGACUGUUAAUAAUUCAACUAAAAUCAGUUUAAUGGCCGCGGUAACCCUGACCGUGAUAAAGUAGCAUAAUCACUUGUCACUUAAUUGGUGACUGGAAUGAAUGGCUAAACGAAUCCUUCCCUGUCUCUGAAAGAACUCUGGCAAAUUUGAAGUAAUAGUGAAGAUGCUAUUAGAUAAUUGUAAGACGAAAAGACCCUAUCGAGCUUUACUGGACACUUGCAUUUUGAUAUUCUUGAUCAUUACAAAGUUUCUCAUAGUGCAAGAUUGACAGUUUGGUUGGGGCGACCACCCCUAAAAAUGUAUCAGGGGAACUCUAAAGGUUGUUACAACAUGAAAAGUAACCUUACUGAAGAUAGACAAAUCAGCCAGUUAUGAUAAAUAGGACAUACUGACCCGUUAUUUUUGCUCAUAAUAAAUAACGACCAUGAAAAAAGUUACCGUAGGGAUAACAGGGUAAUAUUUUCGGAGAGUUCAUAUCGAUGAAGAUGUUUGCCACCUCGAUGUUGAAUUGUGAUAUCCUAAGGGUGCAGCAGCUCUUAAGGGUUGGUCUGUUCGACCAUUAAAAUCACACAUGAUUUGAGUUCAUUCCGUCGUAAGACAGGAAGGUUUCUAUCUACAAUUAAAGAACUAACCACAAACUCUAGUACGAAAGGAAUGAGUAAUGUCACUACAAAAAGAUGAGAUAACCAAUCUGAUUUAAUAUAAGUCUCUUAAUUAUAGUUCAACAAUUAUAUAUAAUACAUAAAAACACA
rnacentral:rRNA from 1 species